rnacentral:tRNA from 1 species
AAGAAGGUUUAGAAAAAUAGAAACUG